CCUACGGGAGGCAGCAGUGAGGAAUAUUGGUCAAUGGGCGCGAGCCUGAACCAGCCAAGCAGCGUGAAGGAUGAAUGCCCUACGGGUUGUAAACUUCUUUUAUAAAGGAAUAAAGUGAGGCACGUGUGCCUUUUUGUAUGUACUUUAUGAACAAGGAUCGGCUAACUCCGUGCCAGCCGCCGCGGUAAUACGGAGGUUCCGAGCGUUAUCCGGAUUUAUUGGGUUUAAAGGGAGCGUAGAUGGGUUGUUAAGUCAGUUGUGAAAGUUCGCGGCUCAACCGUAAAAUUGCAAUUGAAACUGGCAGCCUUGAGUACAGUUGAGGUAGGCGGAAUUCGUGGUGUAGCGGUGAAAUGCUUAGAUAUCACGAAGAACUCCGAUUGCGAAGGCAGCUUACUAACCUGCCACUGACAUUGAUGCUCGAAAGUGUGGGUAUCAAACAGGAUUAGAUACCCGAGUAGUC
rnacentral:rRNA from 1 species